CUGUGUCAGCCUGUUAUGAUGCCGUCCCGUACCAACCUGGCUACUGGAAUCCCCAGUAGUAAAGUGAAAUAUUCAAGGCUCUCCAGCACAGACGAUGGCUACAUGGACCUUCAGUUUAAGAAAACCCCUCCUAAGAUCCCUUAUAAGGCCAUCGCACUUGCCACUGUGCUGUUUUUGAUUCGCGCCUUUCUCAUUAUUAUAGGCUCCCUCCUGCUGUCAGGCUACAUCAGCAAAGGG
rnacentral:lncRNA from 1 species